CAGCAGCCGCGGUAAUACAGAGGGUGCGAGCGUUAAUCGGAUUUACUGGGCGUAAAGCGUGCGUAGGCGGCUUUUUAAGUCGGAUGUGAAAUCCCUGAGCUUAACUUAGGAAUUGCAUUCGAUACUGGGAAGCUAGAGUAUGGGAGAGGAUGGUAGAAUUCCAGGUGUAGCGGUGAAAUGCGUAGAGAUCUGGAGGAAUACCGAUGGCGAAGGCAGCCAUCUGGCCUAAUACUGACGCUGAGGUACGAAAGCAUGGGGAGCAAACAGGAUUAGAUAUCCCCGUAGUCCCUGUCUCUUAUAC
rnacentral:rRNA from 1 species